UACGUAGGGGGCAAGCGUUGUCCGGAUUUAUUGGGCGUAAAGAGCUCGUAGGCGGUGUGUCGCGUCGGCCGUGAAAACCUGCAGCUUAACUGUGGGCUUGCGGUCAAUACGGGCAUCACUGGAGUUCGGCAGGGGAGACUGGAAUUCCUGGUGUAGCGGUGAAAUGCGCAGAUAUCAGGAGGAACACCGGUGGCGAAGGCGGGUCUCUGGGCCGAUACUGACGCUGAGGAGCGAAAGCGUGGGGAGCGAACAGG
rnacentral:rRNA from 1 species